AAUUGAUUAAGCUAGAAAGAGCUUAUGGUGGAUGCCUUGGCAUUCAGAGUUGAUGAAGGACGCGACCGGCUGCGAAAAGCCGUGGGGAGCUGCUAAAUAAGCGUAGAUCCGCGGAUAUCCGAAUGGGGAAACCCACCAGUGUGGAGCACUGGUAUUAUGUGGUGAAAGAAGUAGCCAUGUAAGAACAAGCAGGAGAACUGAAACAUCUUAGUACCCUGAGGAAAAGAAAUCAAAACGAGAUUCCCUUAGUAGCGGCGAGCGAAAGGGGAAGAGUCCAAACACAUUAAGUGUAAGUCUGUAGACGUUGCUUAAUGUGGGUGUAGGAUAGACUAUCUAAAAGCUACAGCUUUUAGCUGACUUAAAUUUUUUACCCAGUCGAAUGAGCUGGAAAGCUCAACCAAAGGAGGUAAUAGUCCUGUAGACGAAAGGUAAAAGAAGUCAGAGAAUUAUCCAGAGUAUCACGGGCCACGAGAAACCCUGUGAGAAUAUGGGAGGACCACCUUCCAAGACUAAAUACUCCUGAAUGACCGAUAGUGAACAAGUACCGUGAGGGAAAGGUGAAAAGAACCCCGGGAGGGGAGUGAAAUAGAAACUGAAACCGUAAGCUUACAAUAAGUAGGAGGGCUAUUAGAAAGCCUGACUGCGUACUUUUUGUAUCACGGACCGGCGAGUUACUAAUCGUAGCGAAAGGUUAAGUCAUAGAGAUGAAGCCAGAGCGAAAGCGAGUCUGAUAAGGGCGGAAGUUAUGAUUAGUAGACCCGAAACCGAGUGAUCUAUCCAUGACCAGGGUGAAGCGAGUGUAAGAGCUUGUGGAGGCCCGAACCCACUUAUGUUGAAAAAUGAGGGGAUGAGUUGUGGAUAGGGGUGAAAGGCCAAUCGAACUCGGAGAUAGCUGGUUCUCCUCGAAAUAGCUUUAGGGCUAGCCUCGAUGUAAAAGUUAAAUGGUUGUAGAGCACUGAUUGGACAAGGGGCCCAACAAGGUUACCAAAUCCAUUCAAACUCCGAAUGCCGUUUAGUGUUCAUCGGGAGUCAGACUAUGUGGGAUAAGCUUCAUAGUCGAAAGGGAAAGAGCCCAGACCACCAGAUAAGGUCCCAAAGUAUAUGCUAAGUGGAAAAGGAAGUGAGAUCGCACAGACAACCAGGAUGUUGGCUUAGAAGCAGCCACUCAUUUAAAGAGUGCGUAAUAGCUCACUGGUUAAGCGGUUUUGCGCCGAAAAUGUAACGGGGCUAAAGCAUAUCACCGAAGCUGUGGAUUUAUGGUUAUAUUUAUAUGAUUGUAAGUGGUAGAGGAGCAUUGUGUACGGAGUGAAGCUGUACCGUAAGGAGCAGUGGACUGUACAGAAGAGAGAAUGCCGGUAUGAGUAACGAAAAAAGGAGUGAGAAUCUCCUUCGCCGAAAGUCUAAGGAUUCCUGGGGAAGGCUCGUCCUCCCAGGGUUAGUCGGGACCUAAGCUGAGGCCGAAAGGCGUAGGUGAUGGAAAAUCUGUAAAGAUUCAGAUACCACUGUAAAUUGAUUGAGUGAAGUGGGGACGCGGCAAAGAGAGUGGAGCGUGUGACUGGAAGAGCACGUAUAAGCUAAAGAGUCAGGGUAAGGAGGCAAAUCCCUUUACCCGCUAAUGACUUUUAGUGAUGUGGAGCCAAAAGAGGUGAAGCCACUUAAUGAGUCGCCAAGAAAAACCACUAACGAGAUUUAUAGUGCCCGUACCGCAAACCGACACAGGUAGACGGGAAGAGAAUUCUAAGGCGCGCGAGAGAACCCUUGUUAAGGAACUCGGCAAAAUGACCCCGUAACUUCGGGAGAAGGGGUACCCAUUAGCACUAGCUAGUGGGUCGCAGUGAAAAGAUCCAAGCGACUGUUUAUCAAAAACACAGGUCUCUGCUAAGUCGUAAGACGAAGUAUAGGGGCUGACGCCUGCCCGGUGCUGGAAGGUCAAGGAGAAGGCUUAGUGCAUUAAGCACGAAGGUCUGAACCUAAGCCCCAGUAAACGGCGGCCGUAACUAUAACGGUCCUAAGGUAGCGAAAUUCCUUGUCGGGUAAGUUCCGACCUGCACGAAUGGCGUAACGACUUGGAUGCUGUCUCAACAAGGGACUCGGUGAAAUUAAAUUGCCUGUGAAGAUGCAGGCUACCUGCGACAGGACGGAAAGACCCCGUGGAGCUUUACUGCAGCCUGAUAUUGGGUUUUGAUGUAGAAUGUACAGGAUAGGUGGGAGACUUUGAAACUGGCAUGCCAAUGUCAGUGGAGUCGCUGGUGGGAUACCACCCUUUCUACAGCGGAAUUCUAACUGGAGGCCAUAAACUGGUCACAGGACAUUGUCAGGCGGGCAGUUUGACUGGGGCGGUCGCCUCCCAAACAGUAACGGAGGCGCUCAAAGGUUCCCUCAGUGCGGAUGGAAAUCGCACGAAGAGUGUAAAGGCAGAAGGGAGCUUAACUGCAAGACAGACAAGUCGAGCAGGUACGAAAGUAGGACUUAGUGAUCCGGCGGUAUAGUGUGGAAUUGCCGUCGCUCAACGGAUAAAAGUUACCCCGGGGAUAACAGGCUUAUCUCCCCCAAGAGUUCACAUCGACGGGGAGGUUUGGCACCUCGAUGUCGGCUCAUCGCAUCCUGGAGCUGAAGCAGGUUCCAAGGGUUUGGCUGUUCGCCAAUUAAAGCGGUACGCGAGCUGGGUUCAGAACGUCGUGAGACAGUUCGGUCCCUAUCCGUCGCAGGCGAAAGAUACUUGAGAAGAGCUGUCCCCAGUACGAGAGGACCGGGAUGGACACACCGAUGGUGAAUCAGUUGUUCCACCAGGAGCAUAGCUGAGUAGCUAAGUGUGGAAAAGAUAAGCGCUGAAAGCAUCUAAGCGUGAAACAGACUUCAAGAUUAGGUAUCUCACUUUGUUAAGAAGGUAAGAUCCCUUAAAGAUGAUAAGGUAGAUAGGCCAGAGGUGUAAGUGUAGUAAUACAUUAAGCUAACUGGUACUAAUAGAUCGAGGGCUUAAUCAUUAUUUCCUAUAUGUAUCUUUGA
rnacentral:rRNA from 1 species